rnacentral:rRNA from 1 species
GAUGAACGCUAGCGGAAGGAUUAAUACAUGCAAGUCGAGGGACAGCACAGGUAGCAAUACUGGGUGGUAACCGGCACACGGGUGCGGAACACGUCCACAACCUUCCUUUCAGUGGGGGAUAGCCCAGAGAAAGUUGGAUUAAUAUCACGCAAUAUAGUUGAAUGGCAUCAUUUGAUUAUGAUAGCUACGGCGCUUAAUGAUGGGUGUGCGGCUGAUUAGAUAGUUGGCGGUGUAACGGCCCACCAAGUCGACUAUCAGUAGCUGAUGUGAGAGCAUUGUCAGCCACACGGGCACUGAGAAACGGGCCCGAGUCCUACGGGAGGCUGCAGUAAGGAAUAUUAGUCAAUGGACGCAAGUCUGAACCAGCCAUGCCGAGUGAAGUAUUAAGAUCCUCUGGAUUGUAAGCUUCUUUUAUUUGUGACGAAAAAGGGCCUUUCUAGGUCAACUGACGGUACCAGAUGAAUAAGCACCGGCUAACUCCGUGCCAGCAGCCGCCGUAACAC